CAAGAAGAAAGAAAAAAAAAGAGAGAGAGAAAGAGAGAGGUGGGGGAACCUUAAAAAAAACGUUAAAAAAAGAAAAAAAAAUGGAAUAGAUUUUGAAACAAAUAGACGAAAUAAAAAGGAACUUCGUACACACAAAAAAUGAUGAUGCUGGUGAUGAGAAAUGAGUCCAGACCACACCUGUGAGGAGGGAGUAGUGCAAACAUCAUGUCCCUGGCCAGAGAUCUGCACGAUGUUGGACACAUUUAUUUGACCUUCCGACUCCUCCAAGAAAACACCAACGUCAGCGGAUGAGCCCAACAUAAACACUAGCUCCUAACUCAACCCUAAGCAUUGAUGAGCUCAGGGUUGUGGAGGCCAAUACUCCUUGAGGCCAGGUCACGUGGUGCUGAGCCUUACUGCAGCUACCCCAAUUCAAUCAAUUGCCAUCGACCCACACACGUGUUGGGAAGCCCGUCUGGGGAAAAAAUAGAAGAAACUACUCACUCUGAUUACCUCAGCCUUACAGAGAGUUGAACAACUCAAAUUCCCCGAGACGCAGUUGACUGCUAGAAUUAGAAAGAAUACUUGACUCCACCAUCAAUAAAUUUUUGUAAUCACAAAAAAUGGCAAGUUUUGUCUAAACUUGAGAUAUUAUUGCAAACAUUUUCUUCACGCAAUUAUUUGUGUCUUACUUCUCUUUUCAAUAAUAUUUUAAAUUAAUUUCAAAUUGCUCUCUCUCUCAGCUUUUCUUUUCUUUCACAGCGCCAGUUUAUAUAAACGGAAGACUACCUCAGGAAGAUAAAAAAGUAAAAGAUUGGAAGGAAAAAGAAAGGAAAAAAAAAAGCUCGCACUAAAUGUCAGAAUUUUCUUUGAGUCAGCUGACGAAAGAUAAAUAAUCGUCAAUGUUUUAAUUAGAAAAAAACAGCAACAGACAUCUGUCUGGCUUUAUUAUAUCAUGAGAUUGAAGCCAGGUGAUCAAUCAAGCAUUACUUAAGACACGUAAUAACAGGUCAAAUUUAAGACAAGUAAUAGCAGGUCAAAUUUUUUUUUAUAUGUUUAUGACUCAAUUACUUUUUAUUUUAUCGCAAACAAAAUAAACGGGAAAAUACAUUUUGUAGAUUCAUAAAUCAAAUUCCCGUUUUUUUUUCGUCUUAAUUGUUACUCUAUGUGUGUGUGUUACUUCUCAAUCUGUUACGCGCUUAUUUUAGAACAUCUUUUGUACAAGUUACAAAAAAAAAAAAAAAA